CAUUUACAGUCAAACCUUCACUCUAGUGAAGUCAGGCAUCGAAGGAAGCUGGGUAGCCACGAGUGAUGUACUCUGGUCUUCCCAAGAAAUCUGCUGCACAGGUUUAUGGAUCAUUAUGAAGCUCCUGUUGCUGCCUUCCCGUAUAGAGGCAGGAUUUUGUAACAGGCAGGCUUCAUCCAUGUUUCAGGUUGCUUUAUAAUGGAGGCUGGUGGUGUUAGUUCUGGGUGCACAUGGGGAAGCUGAGAUGCCGGAUGGGGCGGGGGAAACGUCUUCUGCACAGCAGCUCAACAAUCGUAAACCAUGAAUUGAGGCCAGACAGAGGGCUCUGCGGAUUUGUUAAUGUGGUUUCCUGGUUUCUGGUGGAAGCAGCAUCAGGCCCCAGGCAGGGGCAGAUCCCUUUUUGUAAGCAUGAUUUCCACAUGAAAAAUGCAGCCAGGGACUGCGGUCACACGCUUCUUCCCCACUCAUUACUGGGAAAUGCAGAAUAAAGCCAACUAAGUACAGGUUGAAGGCAAGGCAAGGAUUCCUUCCCAGUUUGAUCCUUUCACUACUGAGUAGACAAUUUUGUUUCCUCUUUGGGAUGGAUGCGUUCGGGAUUCUUCUCCAAAAGUGCUGGAAGAGCUUUGGGCACUGGAGUGCCCCAUGCAUCAGAGGGUCCGAGAUGUCCCUGUGAACCCGGUCCGGUACCGUCUGUCCCCCGUGACAUCCCUCCCCCGUGGGGAACCGGUCACGGGGCAGUGCCGAGAGCGGGACGUACACCACUCUUCCCAGCAGAAAGGUCGGAAACUGCCUUCGGGUUUUUCGGGAGGCGGCAGCUUCUCCCUCAGUCCCGGACCGGGGCCGGGGCUGCGGUUCGGGGGCUGUUCCCCCCCCCCACAAGCCCGGUACCGGGGCUGCGCGGGGGCAGCGGGGUCUGUUCCUUAAAACUGCUCGACUUCGCUUUACGUCAGCCUGAGUUUCUGCGUCAGAACUCCUCUCCCUCUUCUUUCCUACGGGGAGGAGGGGGGGGACGACGACGACACAAGCCGGGGCUCCCCCCACCUGCGCCGGGGAGGCGGCGCCGGGGGCCGGGCUGGGCGGCCCCGGGGGAACCACCUGCCGGUACCGACACCCCCCUGAACCCCCUCCCCGGGUCGCAACGGGGCAGGGCUCGGCUUCCCCCGACCCGGCCCGGCGGGGGAGGGAAAAGGAACGGCGGGGGCCCAGCCAGCGCCGGUCCCGGUCCCGGUCCCGGUCCCGGUGGGGAGGGAAGCGCCGUCCGCAGCCUCUGCGGGAAAGGUCGGUCCGAGGAUGAGGUCCUGAAGCCCCGCAGCAUCCUCCUCUGA
rnacentral:lncRNA from 1 species